ensembl:lncRNA
CUUACAGUUCUCUACGGAAAAUAAAUGGAAAAUGAGAGCGAGGUAGAGAUAGAGCGAGAGACGGAGGAGGAGACGCAGGGAGAGAUUGAGCGAGGGACAGACGGCGAGAGAGACAGGCAGGGCGAGAGACAGAUGGGGAGAGAGACUGAGCGAGAGACAGACAGAGCAAGAGACAGGCGGAGUGACAGACAGAAAGACAGACGGGGCAAAAGACAAACAGAGCGAGAGAUAUAUACGGUGCGAGAGACAGACACAAGGAGAAACAGAAUGACUGAGAGACAGGCGGAGUGAGAGACAGGCAGAGUGUGAGACAGAAUGACUGAGAGACAGGCGGAGUGAGAGACAGGGUGCGAGACAGACAGAGCAAAUGAUAAACAGAGCGAGAGAUAUACGGUCCGAAAGGCAGGCAGAGUGACAGACAGGCCGAGCGAGAGACAGACACAAGGAGAAACAGAAUGACUGAGAGACAGGCGGAGUGAGCGACAGGCCGAGCGAGAGACAGACUGAGCAGACAGAUAAAAGCCAUUAGGCUUGGUGUUCCUCCGGUGAAGACUCACCUGACCUUCUGGAAAAUCGAAAUGAGGGUUUAUUAAAAAAAAAAAGAGAAAAAAAU